AGUGAACGCUGGCGGUAGGCCUAACACAUGCAAGUCGAACGGCAGCACAGUAGGAGCUUGCUCUUACGGGUGGCGAGUGGCGGACGGGUGAGGAAUACAUCGGAAUCUACUUUUUCGUGGGGGAUAACGUAGGGAAACUUACGCUAAUACCGCAUACGACCUACGGGUGAAAGCAGGGGAUCUUCGGACCUUGCGCGAUUGAAUGAGCCGAUGUCGGAUUAGCUAGUUGGCGGGGUAAAGGCCCACCAAGGCGACGAUCCGUAGCUGGUCUGAGAGGAUGAUCAGCCACACUGGAACUGAGACACGGUCCAGACUCCUACGGGAGGCAGCAGUGGGGAAUAUUGGACAAUGGGCGCAAGCCUGAUCCAGCCAUACCGCGUGGGUGAAGAAGGCCUUCGGGUUGUAAAGCCCUUUUGUUGGGAAAGAAAAGCAGCAGGUUAAUACCCCGCUGUCCUGACGGUACCCAAAGAAUAAGCACCGGCUAACUUCGUG
rnacentral:rRNA from 1 species